AAACAUACAGCAUAAAGCAGGAGGAGGUGGUUCAAGUGACCCAGUACCCACCGAUGACAUUGUGCUUGGGACUAAACGGGUCUACCACAGUCUGGUCCCUGUAACUUCGGAACCCCUGGAUGAUAACCUGCACAAGAACCGUCAAUGUAUCUUUAUAAGAGGGCACCAAACUUUCAAAUGCAUUGCGUUUACCGUGUAAAUGCGCCGGACAAUAACUAUUUACUCGAGUGAGUAGACUAUAAUAGUUAUGGCUUGACGCUUCAGCUAACUUUAGCCAAACAGCUUCAAAAGGGGGCGGGCAAUUCAAAGCAGCAUUUUCUAUGGCGCUCUCGUUAACCUUAACGUGACGGCCAUUCACAACAUGCUCAAUGCGGACUGUCUGAACUCCGUUAUCUUAAACGAAACAAGGCUUUGCACUAAAACUGCGACUUAUGAUCUGCCUUCAUUCAAGCAAGUAACAGUGCUGCUAGCCCACUCGGCCCAGUAAGGAAGCAACAGGGACACACUGGUGUCCUUAGCUUACCUGUUUGAUGUACAUCUGAAGUCUAUUUCGGGCGUCUCCUUGUCUGAAUCAGGAGCUAACCGAUCAGCUCCAGGUAAAUGGAGAUAGCGGGCUGCUGCUGCCCUCAGGCCCACCUGUGAGCAACUGACCACUGUUGAG